CGAGUUCCAUCUCCUCAGUCUCCGGCGACCCGAGAGAUUGAGAGAAAGAAGGAGCGGUGCCGCCGGCGGACUCGACACACCAGCCACCAACGAUUCGAGUGGAGAGAAGGGUGCCGCGACUGGGGGAGAUAGAAGAUGGAUCCUGAUGAGAUUCCGCAAUUGGCCGAUCCCAUUUCUCGCACGCCGUGUGUGGAUGGCAAAAGGCUGUGGCGUUCCCUAAUCCCGUCUUGCCCCGUGUCUGAGGUGCUUGACGACGACGAUCUUCUCAUUGAGAUCCUAGUCCGGGUCGGCUUCCCCACCACUCUCGUCCACGCCGCUCUAGUAUGUAGGCGCUGGUUUCACCAUGCCUCCGACCCCGUCUUCCUCCACCGUUUUCGAAA